UACGGAAGGCAGCAGGUGGGGAAUAUUGCACAAUGGGCGCAAGCCUGAUGCAGCCAUGCCGCGUGUAUGAAGAAGGCCUUCGGGUUGUAAAGUACUUUCAGCGGGGAGGAAGGCGAUGUGGUUAAUAACCGCGUCGAUUGACGUUACCCGCAGAAGAAGCACCGGCUAACUCCGUGCCAGCAGCCGCGGUAAUACGGAGGGUGCAAGCGUUAAUCGGAAUUACUGGGCGUAAAGCGCACGCAGGCGGUCUGUUAAGUCAGAUGUGAAAUCCCCGGGCUUAACCUGGGAACUGCAUUUUGAAACUGGCAGGCUUGAGUCUCGUAGAGGGGGUAGAAUUCCAGGUGUAGCGGUGAAAUGCGUAGAGAUCUGGAGGAAUACCGGUGGCGAAGGCGGCCCCCUGGGACGAAGGACUGACGCUCAGGGUGCGAAAGCGUGGGGAGCAAACAGGGAUUAGAUACC
rnacentral:rRNA from 1 species